GAUGAACGCUGGCGGCGUGCUUAACACAUGCAAGUCGAACGGUGAAGGCGGAGCUUGCUCUGCUGGAUCAGUGGCGAACGGGUGAGUAACACGUGAGCAAUCUGCCCCUGACUCUGGGAUAAGCGCUGGAAACGGCGUCUAAUACUGGAUACGAGCUGCGAAGGCAUCUUCAGCAGCUGGAAAGAACUUCGGUCAGGGAUGAGCUCGCGGCCUAUCAGCUUGUUGGUGAGGUAACGGCUCACCAAGGCGUCGACGGGUAGCCGGCCUGAGAGGGUGACCGGCCACACUGGGACUGAGACACGGACCAGACUCCUACGGGAGACAGCAGGGGGGAAUAUUGCACAAUGGGCGAAAGCCUGAUGCAGCAGCGCCGCGUGAGGGACGACGGCCUUCGGGUUGUAAACCUCUUUUAGCAAGGAAGAAGCGAAAGUGACGGUACCUGCAGAAAAAGCGCCGGCUAACUACGUG
rnacentral:rRNA from 1 species